AGUGAACGCUGGCGGCAGGCCUAACACAUGCAAGUCGAGCGGCAGCACAGGGAGAGCUCUCUUUUACGGUUGGCGACGGGCGGGUGAGUAAGGAGUAGAUCGCCAUCUAAUUUGUCUGGGGUGAUAACGUGGGGAAAGAUACACUAAUAGAUCAUACGUCGAACGGGUUGGAUCAGUGGAUCUUCGGAGCUUUGCUGACUCUAUUAGACGAUGUCGGAUUAGCUAGUUGGCGGGGUAAAGGCCCACCAAGGCGACGAUACGUAGCUGGUCUGAGAGGAUGAUCAGCCACACUGGAACUGAGACACGGUCCAGACUCCUACGGGAGGCAGCAGUGGGGAAUCUUGGACAAUGGGCGAAAGCCUGAUCCAGCCAUACCGCGUGGGUGAAGAAGGCCUUCGGGUUGUAAAGCCCUUUUGUUGGGAAAGAAAAGCAGCAGGUUAAUCCCUCGAUGUUCUGACGGUACCCAAAGAAUAAGCAACGGCUAACUUCGUG
rnacentral:rRNA from 1 species